rnacentral:lncRNA from 7 species
AGAAGGGGGAAGUCGGGAUCUGCCGUACAGCAUCGUGACAGAUGGAAACUCAUCCCUUGAAAUUCAUAGACCAGAACAGCACCUGUGUACGUGCUGUGGGACAGCGGGGUUGAGAGGAAGGUGGGGGACGUUUUGCCCCUACACUGCGGAAGACGGGCUGAGCUCUGACCCACGAGCUGGAAACGCUCCUCCGUGCGGAUGGAGCCAGCAGAGCUUCGGCCCAACCUGAGUAUUUCAUCCUCCUCCCAUUAGAGGGAGCCUGCAGGCGUUGUCAUCCCUGCCAUCCCAAGGAGGACUGCGGCGGUGUUCCGGGCGGUGAGCAGCGAGGACUUGGAUUUAAACCCAUAGAAACGCAGUGAGUCAGAAAGGUUUCUGCAAGAGGCAAACCAAAUAAUAGCACAGCCGUUUGCUUUAGAGCUUUCCUAAACACUUUCCUCGAUUUCCUCUCAGCUGAAUCAUUCCUGAAUUUUCUCAGCAUAGUCAAUGUUUUGCCCUGAAACCACCUGUGGCAGAGACAGGGGCACCUGGCACUGAUUGUAGCUCCAUUCCAGCUGCACCCAGCACAACACGGCUCCAUUCCAGCUGCACACAGCACACCGCCAGCCUCAGUCUGCCCGCUGGGGAUGGGCUGCUGCUUUCGCCAAAAAUUCUGUGCAAUUCCUUCACCUGGCUGAGAGAAAAGCUGUGUUCUCCCUCCUAUCACAAUCUGCAAUCACAAAGGGCAGUCUUUUCACUCUGGGCACGUGUAGCAGUGGUGCUCUGAGUUCCUCUCUUGUUUGGUGGUUUGAUGCAGCUCCAGCAGCAGGCAGCACUGCUGCUACACGUCGUAUGGGAACACGUGCCUGCAAAUACAGGGCUGAAGAAACCAAAAAGAACUCCAGACAAAUAAAAGGGAUUACUAAGCAGAAGAGGGUGUGUCAGAUGAGCUCAAAGUCAACGUGAUUGCACUUUGUGCUGUACCAGCAAGUCUGCCUUUAGGAUGAGACCCAGCUUCUGCUGGGGACAAACCGCUGGGACCUUCCAGAGCCCAGCAGCAAUGGCCUGAAGGGGAGUGCAGCCUCUUGUCUUGGGAACCAGUUGCUUCUAGACUAGAGCUUAGUGGGCUUCACGUUCCAUUUUCAUGUCCCCCCCCUUUUUAAUUAUUUUACUUCAGCUAGCUGCUAGUUACAAAGGCUAAGAACCCUCUUUGCUGACAUUGCUGCAGACGGAUUCACAGACUCCUGGUUUCCAGGGAAUACUGACAUCUCUGAUGUAGAGCACAGUGGGACGAUAAGGACGGAUCUGCUCCAUCAGCGAGCAACUGAAGUAGGAUAUAAACAAUGGAAUUAAUUCUAAAUUGCUUAACUACUCAAAGGGCAAUUACUUCCUUUAAUUACAAGAAAGCCAGAGGAAAUCAGUAUGAUUUAAUUUUGACUAAAAACUCAAACAGCUCACUAUGUGUUUCGUUUAUUACAGAGGUGACAGAACAUUACUGCACUUUGUGAUGCGUUACCUGCCUGAAAACACUGUGCUUUGUUUAUCCUGGCCGUUAUAGUGGCAAACCAUGGUUUGGACUUUGCUUAAUGCUCAGCAGCUGUCUGAAGGACCAAGCAGGGUCCUACACCUUGUUUUUACAUUAUAGCCCCCAUGGCAGGACCAGCUCCCCGCUCACCAAGUUAAAUGGUGCCCUCUUUGUUCUGGCAUUGGUUAUUAAUAACUCUUGUCGGACCCUCCGAGUAUCACAGCCCUUAGUGGAGCAUUGCUGCCCACAGGGCACAGUGAGGAGAUAGGAUGGGCGCCACGCUGCAAAACCUUACUGAAAUAUGGGUAAAUGGAGAUGGAAAUGGGAACAAGAGAACAGCUGUAUGAGUUGGUUUCUGAGUGUUGUAUGCAAGCAGUGAAUGGUGCAGCUGUAGAACGCCUUUGUCUUGCUGCUCCUGGCUUUGUUGCCUUUGUAGUCAGAGUUUAUUUUCUAGCUAGUAUUUUUAGCAUUGUUCCAGUUCGGUAGCAUUUAAC